CUCUUUGACAUUACCUCCCAACUUAUCGUAUAAUUUAUGAUGCUGCUUUUAGGUAGCUAUGGUAAUAAACGCUAUUUGGAAUAGAAGUUGCGGACCCGGGGGCGGUACCCGGCGCUUCCACCAGGCAAUUAUACGUUAUAUUUUGGGAGCGAAAUAGGAUCGACGUGCUUAAUAAAGAAAUAAUUUUUACCCAGUAUGAUACCGCUGGAUUGCUUUUAAGUAAUCAUGGAUCAAAUAAAGUAAAUGCAAACGAUAAUAAACAACGUCUUGCAGCUGUAGCCGCUUAAAUGUUAGGCUAGAGCACGGGGCUGGGGGCUUGCCUGGCAACAGAAAAGCCUCACU
rnacentral:tmRNA from 1 species